AGACUUCUUUGUGCUUUCGAGCGGCAUAGAGCGCACCUAAUGAGUGCGUUGGCAUGACAGAAAGCUAGCAGAUAGAGAGCGCAUAGCGCAAGAAGAAUUUGAGGAGCAUAAUGACAGGCCCAAGAGAAGUGUCUAAAAGCUCUCGUUUCCUUAGUUCGUUUAUUAGAGCAUUUGGAAGCUGGUGAAAUAUUUAUAAAGUGAUUUUUUAUACAAUUAAACCACGAGUGUGUACACAAUUGACAAAGGAUUAUUGAAUUCUCAAGUGGCUUGUGGACGCUUGUAAACCACCACAGAGUUUAUGCUUCGAGGCGAUUGUCGCAUGUAUGGGGUCUUCUGUACGUAUUUCAUAUGACAGCUUUGUCAUUGUCAAGUCACAUUUGUUGUAAGAACUGAGUCUCUACAAAGGACAAGCUGACAAGGCACAGACUGAAUUGCAAACUGGUCACUUCAAAGCUAAACAAAAUAUUGUUUCGCGCGCUUUGGUCAACUUAUGGUCUCAUUAAAUGCCCAUUUCUGGCUCAAUUGGUAUAUAAAGAAGCAAAAUUGUCGUAUUUCGGACGAAGAGCAACCUGAAGAGAUUCAAGAGCUGCCAUUUCAUC